UGGGGAAUCUUGCGCAAUGGGCGAAAGCCUGACGCAGCAACGCCGCGUGCGGGAAGAAGGCUUUCGGGCUGUAAACCGCUUUCAGCAGGAACGAAAAUGACGGUACCUGCAGAAGAAGGAGCGGCCAACUAUGUGCCAGCAGCCGCGGUGAUACAUAGGCUUCAAGCGUUGUCCGGAUUUAUUGGGCGUAAAGAGUUCGUAGGCGGUCGAGUAAGUCGGGUGUGAAAAUUCUGGGCUCAACCCAGAGACGCCACCCGAUACUGCUUAACUUGAGUUCGAUAGGGGAGUGGGGAAUUCCUAGUGUAGCGGUGAAAUGCGCAGAUAUUAGGAGGAACACCGGUGGCGAAGGCGCCACUCUGGAUCGACACUGACGCUGAGGAACGAAAGCAUGGGUAGCAAACAGG
rnacentral:rRNA from 1 species